rnacentral:rRNA from 1 species
GCAAGUCGAACGGAGUUUAUAAGGAAGAAGCUUCGGCGGAAUUCUUAUAAACUUAGUGGCGGACGGGUGAGUAACACGUGGAGAACCUGCCUCUUACCGGGGGACAGCAGUUGGAAACGACUGAUAAUACCGCAUAAGCGCACGAGACCGCAUGGUCCUGUGUGAAAAGAUUUAUCGGUAAGAGAUGGCUCCGCGUCUGAUUAGCCAGUUGGCGGGGUAACGGCCCACCAAAGCGACGAUCAGUAGCCGGCCUGAGAGGGUGAAC